GAUGAACGCUAGCGGCAGGCUUAACACAUGCAAGUCGAGGGGCAGCACGGGUAGCAAUACCUGGUGGCGACCGGCGCAAGGGUGCGUAACGCGUGAGCAACAUGCCCUAUACAGGGGGAUAAUCCAGGGAAACUUGGUCUAAUAUCCCAUAGUAUUUAGAGGAGGCAUCUUCUAUAAAUUAAAGCUUCGGUGGUAUAGGAUUGGCUCGCGUGACAUUAGCUAGAUGGUGAGGUAACGGCUCACCAUGGCAAUGAUGUCUAGGGGUUCUGAGAGGAAGGCCCCCCACACUGGGACUGAGACACGGCCCAGACUCCUACGGGAGGCAGCAGUGAGGAAUAUUGGACAAUGGAUGGAAAUCUGAUCCAGCCAUGCCGCGUGCAGGAAGACAGCCCUAUGGGUUGUAAACUGCUUUUAUAUGGGAGCAAUAAGGUUUACGCGUAGACCGAUGAGAGUACCAUAUGAAUAAGCAUCGGCUAA
rnacentral:rRNA from 1 species